AUGAACGCUAGCUACAGGCUUAACACAUGCAAGUCGAGGGGCAGCAUGGUCUUAGCUUGCUAAGGCCGAUGGCGACCGGCGCACGGGUGAGUAACACGUAUCCAACCUGCCGUCUACUCUUGGACAGCCUUCUGAAAGGAAGAUUAAUACAAGAUGGCAUCAUGAGUCCGCAUGUUCACAUGAUUAAAGGUAUUCCGGUAGACGAUGGGGAUGCGUUCCAUUAGAUAGUAGGCGGGGUAACGGCCCACCUAGUCUUCGAUGGAUAGGGGUUCUGAGAGGAAGGUCCCCCACAUUGGAACUGAGACACGGUCCAAACUCCUACGGGAGGCAGCAGUGAGGAAUAUUGGUCAAUGGGCGAGAGCCUGAACCAGCCAAGUAGCGUGAAGGAUGACUGCCCUAUGGGUUGUAAACUUCUUUUAUAAAGGAAUAAAGUCGGGUAUGCAUACCCGUUUGCAUGUACUUUAUGAAUAAGGAUCGGCUAACUCCGUGCCAGCAGCCGCGGUAAUACGGAGGAUCCGAGCGUUAUCCGGAUUUAUUGGGUUUAAAGGGAGCGUAGAUGGAUGUUUAAGUCAGUUGUGAAAGUUUGCGGCUCAACCGUAAAAUUGCAGUUGAUACUGGAUAUCUUGAGUGCAGUUGAGGCAGGCGGAAUUCGUGGUGUAGCGGUGAAAUGCUUAGAUAUCACGAAGAACUCCGAUUGCGAAGGCAGCCUGCUAAGCUGCAACUGACAUUGAGGCUCGAAAGUGUGGGUAUCAAACAGGAUUAGAUACCCUGGUAGUCCGCACGGUAAACGAUGGAUGCCCGCUGUUGGUCUGAAUAGGUCAGCGGCCAAGCGAAAGCAUUAAGCAUCCCACCUGGGGAGUACGCCGGCAACGGUGAAACUCAAAGGAAUUGACGGGGGCCCGCACAAGCGGAGGAACAUGUGGUUUAAUUCGAUGAUACGCGAGGAACCUUACCCGGGCUUAAAUUGCAGAUGAAUUACGGUGAAAGCCGUAAGCCGCAAGGCAUCUGUGAAGGUGCUGCAUGGUUGUCGUCAGCUCGUGCCGUGAGGUGUCGGCUUAAGUGCCAUAACGAGCGCAACCCUUGUUGUCAGUUACUAACAGGUUCCGCUGAGGACUCUGACAAGACUGCCAUCGUAAGAUGUGAGGAAGGUGGGGAUGACGUCAAAUCAGCACGGCCCUUACGUCCGGGGCUACACACGUGUUACAAUGGGGGGUACAGAGGGCCGCUACCACGCGAGUGGAUGCCAAUCCCAAAAACCUCUCUCAGUUCGGACUGGAGUCUGCAACCCGACUCCACGAAGCUGGAUUCGCUAGUAAUCGCGCAUCAGCCACGGCGCGGUGAAUACGUUCCCGGGCCUUGUACACACCGCCCGUCAAGCCAUGGGAGCCGGGGGUACCUGAAGUGCGUAACCGCGAGGAGCGCCCUAGGGUAAAACUGGUGACUGGGGCU
rnacentral:rRNA from 1 species